rnacentral:rRNA from 1 species
GACGAACGCUGGUGGCGUGCUUAACACAUGCAAGUCGAACGGAAAGGCCCUGCUUUUGUGGGGUGCUCGAGUGGCGAACGGGUGAGUAACACGUGAGUAACCUGCCCUUGACUUUGGGAUAACUUCAGGAAACUGGGGCUAAUACCGGAUAGGAGCUCCUGCUGCAUGGUGGGGGUUGGAAAGUUUCGGCGGUUGGGGAUGGACUCGCGGCUUAUCAGCUUGUUGGUGGGGUAGUGGCUUACCAAGGCUUUGACGGGUAGCCGGCCUGAGAGGGUGACCGGCCACAUUGGGACUGAGAUACGGCCCAGACUCCUACGGGAGGCAGCAGUGGGGAAUAUUGCACAAUGGGCGGAAGCCUGAUGCAGCAACGCCGCGUGCGGGAUGACGGCCUUCGGGUUGUAAACCGCUUUCGCCUGUGACGAAGCGUGAGUGGCGGUAAUGGGUAAAGAAGCACCGGCUAACUACGUG